rnacentral:rRNA from 1 species
GACGAACGCUGGCGGCGUGCUUAACACAUGCAAGUCGAACGGAAAGGCCCUGCUUUUGUGGGGUGCUCGAGUGGCGAACGGGUGAGUAACACGUGAGUAACCUGCCCUUGACUUUGGGAUAACUUCAGGAAACUGGGGCUAAUACCGGAUAGGAGCUCCUGCUGCAUGGUGGGGGUUGGAAAGUUUCGGCGGUUGGGGAUGGACUCGCGGCUUAUCAGCUUGUUGGUGGGGUAGUGGCUUACCAAGGCUUUGACGGGUAGCCGGCCUGAGAGGGUGACCGGCCACAUUGGGACUGAGAUACGGCCCAGACUCCUACGGGAGGCAGCAGUGGGGAAUAUUGCACAAUGGGCGGAAGCCUGAUGCAGCAACGCCGCGUGCGGGAUGGCGGCCUUCGGGUUGUAACCGCUUUCGCCUGUGACGAAGCGUGAGUGACGGUAAUGGGUAAAGAAGCACCGGCUAACUACGUG